rnacentral:rRNA from 1 species
GACGAACGCUGGCGGCGUGCCUAAUACAUGCACGUCGAACGCAGUGGGGACGGGUGAGUAACACGUGGGUAACCUCCCAUCAGAGGGGAUAACACUUGGAAACAGGUGCUAAACAGCUACUGAUGGAUGGACCCGCGGGGCAUGAGCUAGUAGGUGAGGUAACGGCUCACCAAGGCCACGCUGCAUAGCCGACCUAGUGGGGGGACCGGCCACACUGGGACUGAGACACGGCCCAGACUCCUACGGGAGGCAGCAGUAGGGAAUCUUCGGCAAUGGACGAAAGUCUGACCGAGCGACGCCGCGUGAGUGACGAAGGUUUUCGGAUCGUAAAACUCUGUUGUUAGAGAAGCGGUAUCUAACCAGAAAGCCACGGCUAACUACGUGCCAGCAGCCGCGGUAAUAC